AUCCGCCCAGGGUGAGUCGGGACCUAAGGCGAGGCCGACAGGCGUAGUCGAUGGAUAACGGGUUGAUAUUCCCGUACCCGUGUGGGCGCGUCAAUGGCGAAUCAGUUGUGCUAACCGUCCUGAUGGUGAAAGACCCGCUUCGGUGGGCUGGAUCCGGAUGCACGGGACCCUGGCUGGUAGUAGUCAAGCGAUGGGGUGACGCAGGAAGGUAGUGGGGCCAGUGAGUGGUAGUACUGGUGUAAGCCGGUAGGGAGGGACAUAGGUAAAUCCGUGUCCCGCUAUAUCCUGAGAGGUGAUGCGACCCCAUAGAUGGGGGAUUCCAUGAUCCUAUGCUGCCGAGAAAAGCCUCUAGCGAGUUCCCGCACGGCCCGUACCCCAAACCGACACAGGUGGUCAGGUAGAGAAUACUAAGGCGAUCGAGUGAACUGUGGUUAAGGAACUCGGCAAAAUGCCCCCGUAACUUCGGGAGAAGGGGGACCACGCCUGGUGAACACCCUUUGCGGUGGGAGCUGGGGGUGGUCGCAGAGACCAGAGAGAAGCGACUGUUUACUAAAAACACAGGUCCGUGCGAAGCCGCAAGGCGAGGUAUACGGACUGACGCCUGCCCGGUGCUGGAAGGUUAAGAGGACCGGUUAGCUCCCCUUGCGGGGGGCGAAGCUGAGAAUUUAAGCCCCAGUAAACGGCGGUGGUAACUAUAACCAUCCUAAGGUAGCGAAAUUCCUUGUCGGGUAAGUUCCGACCUGCACGAAUGGCGUAACGACUUCUCUGCUGUCUCAACCACAGGCUCGGUGAAAUUGCAUUACGAGUAAAGAUGCUCGUUACGCGCGGCAGGACGAAAAGACCCCGGGACCUUUACUGCAGCUUGGUAUUGGUGUCUGGUUCGGUUUGUGUAGGAUAGGUGGGAGACUGUGAAACCCUCACGCCAGUGGGGGCGGAGUCGUUGUUGAAAUACCACUCUGACCGGAUUGGGCAUCUAACCUCGGACCCUGAACGGGUUCAGGGACAGUGCCUGGUGGGUAGUUUAACUGGGGCGGUUGCCUCCUAAAAGGUAACGGAGGCGCCCAAAGGUUCCCUCAGCCUGGUUGGCAAUCAGGUGUUGAGUGCA
rnacentral:rRNA from 1 species